rfam:Glossina fuscipes fuscipes unplaced genomic scaffold Scaffold21, whole genome shotgun sequence.
ACGUUCUUGUGUUAUUUAUUGGCUGUAAUCCUUCUUUAGUCAAUAAUUGUCAAAAAGAACGGAUAUUAAAUAGCAACAGAUCGUUAAUCUUUGUUUUUUUCCUAAAAAGGAGGAAAAAACUUCCGAUUUAUUGCUGACACUA